AGCGAACGCUGGCGGCAUGCCUAACACAUGCAAGUCGAACGAGAUCUUCGGGUCUAGUGGCGCACGGGCGCGUAACGCGUGGGAAUCUGCCCUUUGGUUCGGAAUAACAGUUGGAAACGACUGCUAAUACCGGAUGAUGACGAAAGUCCAAAGAUUUAUCGCCAGAGGAUGAGCCCGCGUAGGAUUAGCUAGUUGGUGUGGUAAAGGCGCACCAAGGCGACGAUCCUUAGCUGGUCUGAGAGGAUGAUCAGCCACACUGGGACUGAGACACGGCCCAGACUCCUACGGGAGGCAGCAGUGGGGAAUAUUGGACAAUGGGCGAAAGCUUGAUCCAGCAAUGCCGCGUGAGUGAUGAAGGCCUUAGGGUUGUAAAGCUCUUUUACCCGGGAUGAUAAUGACAGUACCGGGAGAAUAAGCUCCGGCUAACUCCGUGCCAGCCGCCGCGGUAA
rnacentral:rRNA from 1 species